rnacentral:rRNA from 1 species
UAAAUAGAUACCCCGUGGUAGUCCACGCCCUAAACGAUGCGAACUGGAUGUUGGGUACAUUACGGUACUCAGUGUCGAAGCUAACGCGUUAAGUUCGCCGCCUGGGGAGUACGGUCGCAAGACUGAAACUCAAAGGAAUUGACGGGGGCCCGCACAAGCGGUGGAGUAUGUGGUUUAAUUCGAUGCAACGCGAAGAACCUUACCUGGCCUUGACAUCUGUCGAAUCCUGCAGAGAUGCGGGAGUGCCGCAAGGAACGACAAGACAGGUGCUGCAUGGCUGUCGUCAGCUCGUGUCGUGAGAUGUUGGGUUAAGUCCCGCAACGAGCGCAACCCUUGUCCCUAGUUGCCAACACGUAAUGGUGGGAACUCUAGGGAGACUGCCGGUGACAAACCGGAGGAAGGUGGGGAUGACGUCAAGUCCUCAUGGCCCUUACGGCCAGGGCUACACACGUACUACAAUGGUCGGUACAGAGGGUUGCGAAGCCGCGAGGUGGAGCCAAUCCCAGAAAGCCGAUCCCAGUCCGGAUUGGAGUCUGCAACUCG